rnacentral:misc_RNA from 1 species
GAUGAAGAACGUAGCGAAAUGCGAUAACUAAUGUGAAUUGCAGAAUUCAGUGAAUCAUCGAGUCUUUGAACGCACAUUGCGCCCCCUGGUAUUCCGGGGGGCAUGCCUGUCCGAGCGUCAUUGCUGCCCUCAAGCACGGCUUGUGUGUUGGGCUCCGUCCCCCCGGGGACGGGCCCGAAAGGCAGCGGCGGCACCGAGUCCGGUCCUCGAGCGUAUGGGGCUUUGUCACCCGCUCUGUAGGCCCGGCCGGCGCCAGCCGACAACCCAUCAUCCUUUUCAGGUUACCUCGGAUCAGGUAGGGAUACCCGCUGAACUUAAGCAUAUCAAUAAGCGGAGGA